AUAUUUACCUGGCGGGAGACCUUGAUCAGAAAAGUGGUUCUCCCAUCGCGAGUCUAUCCUAUUGCAGUUUGGUUGUGCAGACGCAUGUGACGUCCCCAAAUGUGGGGCACUCAACUUCAAAAUUUGUGUUAGUUGGGGACUGUGUUUGUGCUUUCCGGGC